rnacentral:rRNA from 1 species
GGCUCAGGACGAACGCUGGCGGCGGGCCUAACACAUGCAAGUCGAACGCACUCGACCUUCGGGUCAUAUGAGUGAGUGGCGAACGGGUGAGUAACACGUGAGAAACCUGUCCCGAAGACUGGAAUAACCCGAGGAAACUCGGGCUAAUACCGGAUAUCCCCACCGGAUCACAUGGUCUGGUGAGGAAAUGCUCCGGCGCUUCGGGAGGGUCUCGCGGCCUAUCAGUUAGUUGGUGAGGUAACGGCUCACCAAGGCAUCGACGGGUAGCUGGUCUGAGAGGACGAUCAGCCACACUGGGACUGAGACACGGCCCAGACUCCUACGGGAGGCAGCAGUGGGGAAUCUUGCGCAAUGGGCGAAAGCCUGACGCAGCCACGCCGCGUGAGGGAUGAAGGCUUUCGGGUUGUAAACCUCUUUCAGCAGGGACGAAAAUGACGGUACCUGCAGAAGAAGCUCCGGCCAACUACGUGCCAGCAGCCGCGGUAACACGUAGGGAGCAAGCGUUGUCCGGAUUUAUUGGGCGUAAAGAGCUCGUAGGCGGUUCGGUAAGUCGGGUGUGAAAACUUGAGGCUCAACCUCAAGAGGCCACUCGAUACUGCUGUGACUGGAGUCCGGUAGAGGAGUGUGGAAUUCCUGGUGUAGCGGUGAAAUGCGCAGAUAUCAGGAGGAACACCGACAGCGAAGGCAGCACUCUGGGCCGGUACUGACGCUGAGGAGCGAAAGCAUGGGGAGCGAACAGGAUUAGAUACCCUGGUAGUCCAUGCCGUAAACGUUGGGCACUAGGUGUGGGGUCUAGCUAACAGAUUCCGUGCCGCAGCUAACGCAUUAAGUGCCCCGCCUGGGGAGUACGGCCGCAAGGCUAAAACUCA